rnacentral:rRNA from 1 species
CCUACGGGUGGCAGCAGUGGGGAAUAUUGGACAAUGGGGGCAACCCUGAUCCAGCCAUGCCGCGUGUGUGAAGAAGGCCCUCGGGUUGUAAAGCACUUUCAGUGAGGAAGAACGCCUGGUGGUUAAUACCCAUCAGGAAAGACAUCACUCACAGAAGAAGCACCGGCUAACUCCGUGCCAGCAGCCGCGGUAAUACGGAGGGUGCGAGCGUUAAUCGGAAUUACUGGGCGUAAAGCGCGCGUAGGUGGCUUGAUAAGCCGGUUGUGAAAGCCCCGGGCUCAACCUGGGAACGGCAUCCGGAACUGUCAAGCUAGAGUGCAGGAGAGGAAGGUAGAAUUCCCGGUGUAGCGAUGAAAUGCGUAGAGAUCGGGAGGAAUACCAGUGGCGAAGGCGGCCUUCUGGACUGACACUGACACUGAGGUGCGAAAGCGUGGGUAGCAAACAGGAUUAGAUACCCUAGUAGUC